UAUCUCUGUAGAGUCUGCAUAUCAAUAAGCGGAGGAAAAGAAACUAACUAGGAUUCCCUCAGUAACGGCGAGUGAAGCGGGAAGAGCUCAAAUUUGAAAUCUUCAAGGUUCUACCUUGACGAAUUGUAGUUUAAAGAAGUGUUUUCUGUUGGAGUUUUGGUAAAAGUUCUUUGGAAUAGGACAUCAUAGAGGGUGAGAAUCCCGUAUUUGACCAUUACUUUCCAGCUUUGUGAUACACUUUCAAAGAGUCGGAUUGUUUGGGAAUGCAGUCCAAAAUGGGUGGUAAAUUUCAUCUAAAGCUAAAUACUGGCGAGAGACCGAUAGCGAACAAGUACCGUGAGGGAAAGAUGAAAAGAACUUUGAAAAGAGAGUUAAACAGUACGUGAAAUUGUCAAAAGGGAAGCGUUUGACACCAGUGUUGUUUUCUCGAAAAUCAAUUAAAAAAGGCAGGAUUUUGUGUUGUAUUGACUUUAUCAGCUUUCUGCACUCUUUUCUUGUCUUUUUUAAUGCACUUUUCGUUUAACAAGUCAACAUCAAUUUCUUUUGUUGUAAAAGGGUCAUUGGAAGGUGGCUUUCUUUUCGGAGAAAGUGUUUAUAGCCUUUGGCCUCUGCAAUCGGAGAGAUUGAGGUCUGCAGCGUAGAUCCUUCGGGGUUAGAUACAUUUGUGCUAAGUUAUAGCCUUUCAUAGACAACUUGUUGACUAUGAUCAGUCAUGUAGCUUACUCGCUUAUGCUAUUUUACCUACGCUUAGGAUGUUGAAGUCAUCGUAUCGCGC
rnacentral:rRNA from 1 species